CCUACGGGAGGCUGCAGUGAGGAAUAUUGGUCAAUGGACGAGAGUCUGAACCAGCCAAGUAGCGUGAAGGAUGACUGCCCUAUGGGUUGUACACUUCUUUUAUAUAGGAAUAAAAUGUUCCACGUGUGGGAUUUUGUAUGUACCAUAUGAAUAAGUAUCGGCUAACUCCGUGCCAUCAGCCGCGGUAAUACGGAGGAUCCGAGCGUUAUCCGGAUUUAUUGGGUUUAAUGGGAGCGUAGGUGGAUUGUUAAGUCAGUUGUGAAAGUUUGCGGGUCAACCGUAAAAUUUCAGUUGAAACUGGGAGUUGUGAGUACAGUAGAGGUGGGCGGAA
rnacentral:rRNA from 1 species